rnacentral:lncRNA from 12 species
AAAUAGUUGGUUCUGGUAAUAUUUUGAAAGCUUGAGACUUACUCAUUUCAGGAAUCGACUAGGGUUGACAUUAAGAAGUAGCUAUUUCUUUUUCAUGAUUUAAUUUCAAAAUAUAUCUAAACACUGACAUAAUCAAAUCACAUUCUGAAUCCUUUACCUUUUUAAGUGCAGCCUCUUCUAAAGGAUGGAGUGGUUGUAGUAGAACAGUUCUCAGCCCAAGCUGUAUGUCAGAAUCAUUUGGGAACUACUGCAAAUUAUAGACGCCUGGGAAUUUAAUUGUUUAAAGAGCUCCCCAAGUGUUUUAAAUAUGCAGUCAUUGUUGGGAAUUAAUAAAUUACCUGUAAGACUCCUUUUUUUUUUUUUUUUUUUUUUUUUUUCUGGUCAGUGGGGGCACCGGGCCGGGUUUAUUGCACUUGCAACAGAGUUUAAAUAAGUCCCGGAUGUCCGGAGCUGAGGUGAGGGGAAGUUGGGCAGGGAGAAAGGGGCAGCGUCAGUGCAGCUAGUGGGCAGGACCCAAAUCCUGCAGGCCCAGGACAGUGGGCUUCCCUCUUUCUGGGGGACGGGGAGGGCCUGCAUCUGGCCAGGCUGAGGUUCCAGAUCUGUUACCAUCGUGUUACCUAUCAUUUCAGAUAUUUUUGGUUCCUUAAUUCUUGAACUCUUCCAGGUCAGCUGAAUACAUCCUAGAUAGCAUGAAAUUAGGUCCUUUUAGUUAAGGUCGAAAUACAGUUUAGUUCCAAAUUGACACUACUUUUUUGGGGCCACUGUAACUCCAAACAAGAUUUUAAUUUUCUCUGAUUCCUACCCCCUCCGCAAUUUAUCCAAUCCACAAAUGCUUAUUGAGCAUCUACUAUAUGUCAGAGGCCACAUUCUAGACACUAGGGAAAGAUAAAAUGGUGAGCAGGGAAGACAAGGAGUCUGAUCUCAUAGAACUUAUAUUGUAGAAUCAGGUCCAGAUCAGUAUGAAUCUCCUCUUUGUCUUGUUUGUUUUCCCUAAGCUCUCAACCAUAUUCUUCUGGCAACUCAUUUAAUCCUAGGGCAUUAACAUAAAGUCCACUUUUUUUUUAAUUUAUUUUUUAUUGGUGUUCAAUUUACUAACAUACAGAAUAACCCCCCGUGCCCGUCACCCAUUCACUCCCACCCCCCGCCCUUCUCCCCUUCCACCACCCCUAGUUCGUUUCCCAGAGUUAGCAGUCUUUAUGUUCUGUCUCCCUUUCUGAUAUUUCCCACACAUUUCUUCUCCCUUCCCUUAUAUUCCCUUUCACUAUUAUUUAUAUUCCCCAAAUGAGUGAGAACAUAUAAUGUUUGUCCUUCACCGACUGACUUACUUCACUCAGCUAAAGUCCACUUUUAUACUUGGUUACUUUUCAUAGACAGAAACACACUAAAUUAGAUAAAAGACAAUAAUUGUGAAGUAC